AGUCUAGCGUGGCACCAAGUGGGCGUGUCGAUCGGCGACUUCGGACAAGACCACUGUCCACACAUGAGCAGUCACGAAUUGGUGUGUCCCGCGGGCUCCUUGCCUUUCGCAAUCAACCACCGAAGAGGCCAUGCUUCUUAGUCUGGUGCUUAUUCGUAUCUUUAGGCCAUCCUUUUUAGUCAUGUGCAUUGCGUGUGCCAUCUACCCAGCUCUACAGGAAAUCAACGUACCCCAUGUGCCAGUUCGCCUCACCACAAUGUGGUCGUCGCGCGCACCUUAACGACACAACCCUUGGGUCCCGUGCUAGCUGGGCUCCAGAAGUAUCACAAGCUCUCGCGAAUGCAACAGGCUUCAAGGACUUCGGCCCUCGGCCUAGACCUUGGUAGGUCAUUAAGCCACCCUCGUCGAGACAACAGUAGAUCCACCAAUAGGCCCCCUC
rnacentral:misc_RNA from 1 species